UUUUUUAUUGCAUGAGUUGCUUAUCUAUAGGUAUCACGAUGAAAGUGAUUAAUGAACAGCGUACAUAACCUGUAAGAGAUUUUAUAACCACGUUAGCCGGUGCCGUGUUUCUUUGGAAGUAAUUUUGAAUUGACAAUAAAGUACGUCUCAACGGUAAAUUAUAUUGAGUACAUCAAUUUAAUAUUGCACAUUAUAAAAUACGAGAAAAGUUACGUUUUAUAAUGUUUUUGCUAUAGAAACUCGUUUUUAACUUAAGAAUAGUUUGAUGAAGGAGACACUGGACAUUCUUAUUUUAAGUGCGUUUAAGAGAUAAAAAACUGACAUAAUAAUGGGUACUAAGACUCAGAUCGCUGCAUUUCUAAUUACAUUUACUGCACUUCAUGUUGGAUGGUAUCGUUUGCAGCAAACGCAGGUACCACCCGAUAUCAGACAUGAACAUCCUAUUGUGAGAUGGUUCCAACAUAAUGUAAAGUCAAAAGAAGAAUGAAGUUUCAGUGACAUUCGAAUAUUAAUAACUUAUUAUACCUCUUUAGGAAUAGAAAGAAUGCAACACAUAAUAUUUUGUACAAAAAUUUAUUCUAAACGUACAUACAAUGUACAUACAAUAAUAAAUAUGUAUACAACAUGGAAAUCAUGUUAAUACAACAAAAUCAUUAGUGUUUCAAAGACAAAUGUGCAAAUACAAAUAAAAGAUCAUAAUAAUAAUUAUUUCAUAAUGAA